UACGUAGGGGGCUAGCGUUGUCCGGAAUCAUUGGGCGUAAAGCGCGUGUAGGCGGUCCGGUAAGUCCGCUGUGAAAGUCGAGGGCUCAACCCUCGAAUGCCGGUGGAUACUGUUGGGCUAGAGUACGGAAGAGGCGAGUGGAAUUCCUGGUGUAGCGGUGAAAUGCGCAGAUAUCAGGAGGAACACCAAUUGCGAAGGCAGCUCGCUGGGACGUUACUGACGCUGAGACGCGAAAGCGUGGGGAGCAAACAGG
rnacentral:rRNA from 1 species